rnacentral:rRNA from 1 species
UACGUAGGGGGCAAGCGUUGUCCGGAAUCAUUGGGCGUAAAGCGCGUGUAGGCGGCUCGAUAAGUCUGCUGUGAAAGUCCAGGGCUCAACCCUGGGAUGCCGGUGGAUACUGUCGAGCUCGAGUCCGGAAGAGGCGAGUGGAAUUCCUGGUGUAGCGGUGAAAUGCGCAGAUAUCAGGAAGAACACCAGUGGCGAAGGCGGUGCUCUGGGCCGGAACUGACGGUGAGGGACGAAAGCGUUGGGAGCAAACAGG